UACUAGAGUAGCACUCGCAUAUCAAUAAGCGGAGGAAAAGAAACUAACAAGGAUUCCCCUAGUAACGGCGAGUGAAGCGGGAAGAGCUCAAAUUUGAAAUCUUAAAGGGUUUCCCUUUACGAAUUGUAGUUUAAAGAAGUGUUUUCUGUUGAGGUUUUGGUAAAAGUUCUUUGGAAUAGGACAUCAUAGAGGGUGAGAAUCCCGUAUUUGACCUUUACUUUCAACUUUGUGAUACACUUUCAAAGAGUCGGAUUGUUUGGGAAUGCAGUCCAAAAUGGGUGGUAAAUUUCAUCUAAAGCUAAAUAUUGGCGAGAGACCGAUAGCGAACAAGUACCGUGAGGGAAAGAUGAAAAGAACUUUGAAAAGAGAGUUAAACAGUACUGUGAAAUUGUCAAAAGGGAAGCGUUUGACACCAGUGUUGUUUUUCUGAAAAUCAAUUAAAGAACUGUUUAUGCUAAGCUUGUUUAGACUUUAUCAGCUAACUGUUUAGUUUUGAGCUUUUCUUUAAUGCACUUUUCAGUUAACAAGUCAGCAUCAAUUUCUUUUGCUGUAAAAAAGCUUGAGGAAGGUGGCUUGAGAUUCGUCUUAAGUGUUUAUAGCCUCUUGCCUAUGCAGUUGGAGAGAUUGAGGUCUGCAGCGUAGAUCCUUCGGGGCUAAAUGCAUUUGUGCUAAGUUAUAGCACUUUAUAGACAACUUGUUGACUAUGAUUCGUCUUGUAGCUUACUCGCUUAUGUUAUUUUACCUACGCUUAGGAUGUUGAUAUCGCGCUCUCACUG
rnacentral:rRNA from 1 species